rnacentral:sRNA from 1 species
UUUCCUUCCCAACUGGCUUCUUGUUUUGUGCAGGAAUAGAAACCCUGAUACAGUGUCCUAUAUCACCUCUUGCCCUGCAUCACCUCUGUGCCCUGCAUCACCUCCGUGCCCUGCACACUCACCUGGCCUGUCUUUCUGUUUGGUUCCGACUUUUCUAGACAGAACCUCCAUAUUCUCAAAUAGCAGCAGCAAGGGCUCGCUGGGUAGUGGGGUCAAAUCUAUAGGAGUGGAUGACACUACCGACUGUCCCUCUGCCUCUACUCCUCACCGUGUUGGUAGUUCUUGGCCCUUCCUGCAUUCCACCAGGGCAUCAAUGACUGCCCUGUGGAUCAGACUGACCACUGAGCCCUGGAAGCCACGCUCCACAGUUCCUAUAGCAAUGUGCUGUCAGUUACCAUCUAGUCGAAGUGUCUCAGAACUAACCCUGGACUCCGUGUGGGACCCAGAUCUACUCAGCCCUGCUAUCCAACGCCACUUGGUAAGAUACUCAGUGUGGACACAAUGGAUGAGCAAGGAGAGUGAUGGUAACUUUUAUGAUCCGUGGCUAAGAGUAUUAGAAGAACAAAAUCCAUUACUUAAUUUGACAACGAUGAGAGUCACAACCAAGGGAACUGAAUGCUGGGGUUUUUUUUCUCUUCUACCUUGACUCAUUUCUGAUAUUAUACCGCUGGGACAAGGAGAAGGAGAUGUUACCACUGCAGUGUGGUAUUUGCCACAUACCCAGAUAGUGGCCAUAAUUUAGCACCUAAAUGUGACCAGCCAGCACACAAAAUCCCACACUGCUCAGGAUCCAUAUCCUCAAACAGCAGCAGCAAGGGCUAGUUAGAGUUUCCCUGGCUCCUACUUAAACAUCAUCCUAAACCAUUUCAAGUUCUCUUGCCCAGAGUUCCCCAGCCCCUUCUUUCAGGAUUGAUUAAGGUCAUACACACCCCUGCUGCAUAAAUAAACUGAUACGCCAGAGUUGGUUUCUCGAAUGUAAAAACAGAUGAUUCUACAAAAAUCUUACAGCCACAAAAAAAAGAUGCCAGUCAACACAGCUGGAUUCAACUAGCCAGAUGCUUCCUCUGGUUUCAAAGUAGACAUCGUGCCUUCCAGGGGCCAGUCGUCACCAUGAAUGAGAGAGCCGAGCUUCCUCAAUAGGGUAGGGUCCUGGCACAGGUGGCUUCUUGGGGAAGAGGCCGCUGGCAACGUUGGAUGAAGCAUUAGAGGUACCAAUCCUGGUCUACCUUGCAACAGGAAGCCACAGACAGCUGUGCUUGCUUGGUUUGCAAGAGCUUGAUGUUGAAAUUCUAGUACUAGCUUAAUUUCAGAUGGUUCUUAUUAAAAAAGAAAAGAAGAAGAAGGGCAAUCUGCUUUCCUGUAUUUCCUGUCAUCCAAUCCCCAUGUAAACUCUAAUUAGAUUGAUCAGGGCGAGCAAAGAGGAUAGGAUCGGAACGAAAUCAACGAAUACUUAAACUUUACUAGUAACGCAACAAUUCCAGUGUGUUAAAGGGAAGAAGGGGCAUUCUGUUACUUUCUUUUUAAAAAAAGUAGCAUACGGUUCAAAUAUCGUGCCUGCACUCUGGAGAGAGGCAGAGAGCUCUGAAAUAAAACCCCGGAUGGAAACAGUCUAAUCUUUAGUGUCUUUGACUGCAGUGCCUUGGUUUGUGGAUAACAUACUGGGACUAAUAGAUUAACUCACAGACUCACUCAGAAACCUUUAUGAUUAACAGGAAACACCGACUGGAACCAAUUUCCACUUCCUUUGGCAGAAAUAGCUGAAAGCAGUCUAGAUUUAACUUAGGGGAAAAAACGGUUCUUUCAUAACAUGGAAAAAGGCUGAAACCAGAGCAUUCACCAUUGUAUCAGCCCUAGAGCAGCCAAUGUGCACAGCGGGCAUAAGGGGGUGUGGAGGGAAAGGCAGGAAUGCUCAAAACUCAAGGCAGAAACAGAUCUUUGUGUGUUCCGAUCAGGCAUUAGGGAGCGAAUGUGCAUCUGCUUUUUGCUCUGGCAGAAACCGGCUUUAUUGCACAGUUUUACAAGGCAACACGUUGCACCCCAUCUCAGGUUCGAGGUUAAAUUUCCAGUGACAGAGAAGUUCAAGGAAGAAGGGGAUGUUUGCCCGUGUCACGGCAGGGCUCCUGUAACCACCAACACCAUUUACACCAGCAUCCCACAGAAGAAAUCUCCUUCUCAGAGAAAGCAUAAAGGCUUCUACAAAAACCAGGUUGAUGGGAAUUAAACAGGCGUCUACAGAGUUAGGGGCUUUUUGAGAGCCGAGCCACACCAGUGGAGCCUGCUGGAGGGCAGCUUUUACAUGCAGCCUUUGCAGGAAACGGGCAUGUCGCGCCAACAUGCAGAGGCAGUUAAACAUUAUGUGAGGACAUUUAAGGGAGCACCUCCUUGCACCCUCCCCCCACGCUGCAGAGUCAGGCUCCUGAGAACGCACAGUGGGGGAUCAUGCGAAGCACCGGGCUACUGGCUUGGCUUGCAAAAGCACAUUCAAAGGAAUUCUUUUCACAUUUGUGGAGAAACUAUCAAACGGAUGGCUUGUGCGGAUAGCUGGGUUGCACAAAUCCACCAGAACUUCGACAUUGGGCUCCUAGGACUUCCUGUCAAAUGAGCAAAAACUUGGAGAGGACUGUGUCACAGCUUGAGGGACGCAGCACCAAAACCUUGCUUAAAAGUAGAGUAGGUCUAUCUCGGCCUUCAAUAAGACAUUUAGUUCCUGCAGAGAUGUGCUCCUGGAGCCUGGUGCUCCUGAGGGGUGCAGGGGGUCACUGCAGAAGGCCCUCAAUCCUGGCCACCCCUUUUCGGGCUUGGGAGGAGAGGAGGCCAGCCACAUGUCGUGGCUCUUCUUCAUCCCGCCUCGUAGCCGCGAGUGACCCUGCUCUGAACCACCAAGACUCGGAUGUUCCUCCUAGCGAGUGUGUGUCCCGCGGAAGCAAAGUGCUGUCUGCCUGCAUGGCCCGCCUUCCCCCUGGCGCCCCACCAACAGAAAGCGCAUGUCUGCGUUUUAUAUUCCUGUAAACUCCAGCCUGGCCCCAGGCCAGAGACCUCUUUGUAAUGUCAAAGAUAAAAGCUUCGGCACCCUGCCCCCACCUCCAUUUCCUUGUAACCGGCUUAUAAACUGAGCAUGCAUGACUGUUAGCAGAGCUUUGCAGACAGAGGUCUGAUGGCGCUCCAGAAACGUCCCCAGAGGGUGAGCGGAGGAAUCCCCAUGGCACCAGGAAGAGAGAGGCUGGAGAGGGGCGAGUGAUCUCCCACAGGACCUGCUGGGAACUGUGGGAGAUCUGAAGUAUGGACUCAAAUGCAUCCUCAGAACAUUCUAGCCCCCAAAGAAUGUGCCCACUGAGCCAGGGUCCUGGGUAUCUUUCCCUAGAACCUGGCAUGCUGACAGCAUCGAAUCUUUUUGGCUCCAAACAGUAUGGAUAUAAAUUAUGUUGCUGUAAUAGAAGGUCCUUAUCAAACUUUGGAUGUCCUAAAAUGGCAUUUGGGGUACACAAGAUGCUGUGGUUUUCUUCUCAUCCCAGCAUGCCCUGUGCCAUGGGUGCUGUGACGUCACCUAAGGAAACUUGUAAGAUCUUACUUUUUGGAUUUUUUUUUUAAAAUUUCUUUUUGGGUCAUACUUGUAGUGUGUCUAAAUUAUAUGGCCCCAGACAUUACAGUUUUAUUAUCCAUUUAGCAUUCUGGAUGACUUUGAAAGUAAAAACUUGAUGUUAUUAAAUGUUCAUAA